rnacentral:tRNA from 1 species
GGUCGGUUAGCAUAGGGUAUGCGAUCUCCGGGGUGCACUUCGGUGCAUCCCAUCUCCCAAAAUGCCUUCUUAUAGAGAAAGUAUUUUAGGGGAUAGAUGAAGGUUCGAUUCCUUCACCGGCCA